GCAUUCAGUAAAUAUGUGUUGGGUGAAGGG
rnacentral:piRNA from 1 species